rnacentral:rRNA from 1 species
AUUGAACGCUGGCGGCAGGCCUAACACAUGCAAGUCGAACGAGUGGCGGACGGGUGAGUAAUGUCUGGGAAACUGCCUGAUGGAGGGGGAUAACUACUGGAAACGGUAGCUAAUACCGCAUACCAUCAGAUGUGCCAAGAUGGGAUUAGCUAGUAGGUGGGGUAACGGCUCACCUAGGCGACGAUCCCUAGCUGGUCUGGGAGGAUGACCAGCCACACUUGAACUGAGACACGGUCCAUAAUCCUACGGGCGGCAGCAGUGGGGAAUGUUGCACCAUGGGCGCAAGCCUGAUGCAGCCAUGCCGCGUGUAUGAAGAAGGCCUUCGGGUUUUAAAGUACUUUCAGCGGGGAGGCGUUACCCGCAGAAGAAGCACCGGCUAACUCCGUGCCAGCAGCCGCGGUAAUUC